GACGAACGCUGGCGGCGUGCUUAACACAUGCAAGUCGAGCGGUAAGGCCCUUUCGGGGGUACACGAGCGGCGAACGGGUGAGUAACACGUGGGUGACCUGCCCUUAGCUCUGGGAUAAGCCUGGGAAACUGGGUCUAAUACCGGAUAUGACUCCAUGACGCAUGUUGUGGGGUGGAAAGCCUUGUGCGGCUAGGGAUGAGCCCGCGGCCUAUCAGCUUGUUGGUGGGGUGAUGGCCACCAAGGCGACGACGGGUAGCCGGCCUGAGAGGGCGACCGGCCACACUGGGACUGAGACACGGCCCAGACUCCUACGGGAGGCAGCAGUGGGGAAUCUUGCGCAAUGGGCGAAAGCCUGACGCAGCGACGCCGCGUGAGGGAGUGACGGCC
rnacentral:rRNA from 1 species